rnacentral:rRNA from 1 species
AUUGAACGCUGGCGGCAUGCUUUACACAUGCAAGUCGAACGGUAACAGGCCUUCGGGUGCUGACGAGUGGCGAACGGGUGAGUAAUGCAUCGGAACGUACCCAGAGGUGGGGGAUAACGCAGCGAAAGCUGUGCUAAUACCGCAUGUGAUCUGAGGAUGAAAGCGGGGGACCGAGCAGCAAUGUUUGGCCUCGCGCCUUUGGAGCGGCCGAUGUCGGAUUAGCUAGUUGGUGGGGUAAAGGCCUACCAAGGCGACGAUCCGUAGCUGGUCUGAGAGGACGACCGGCCACACUGGGACUGGGACACGGCCCAGACUCCUACGGGAGGCAGCAGUGGGGAAUGUUGGACAAUGGGCGCAAGCCUGAUCCAGCAAUGCCGCGUGCGGGAAGAAGGCCUUCGGGUUGUAAACCGCUUUUGGCAGGAACGAAACGGUGUCCGCUAAUACCGGGCGCUAAUGACGGUACCUGCAGAAUAAGCACCGGCUAACUACGUG